rfam:Lupinus angustifolius cultivar Tanjil contig_9930, whole genome shotgun sequence.
UUCAUAUUAGUUCAUUUGUAGAGCAGUUGGUCGUUAACUAAUUGGUCAUAGGUUCGAAUCCUAUUUAAGGAG